AUGGUAUCUUCUGAAUCGACUUUUAGUACAGGACGUCGAGUCCUUGAUUCGUUUUGUAGUUCUUUAAAUCCCUCUACCGUUGAAGCUUUGAUUUGUACUCAAAAUUGUAUCAAAUCUCCUAAGGUUAUUGAUUUAAAAAAUGAGUUGGUUGAAUUGGAAAAGAUUGAGUCAGUUGCAGAAGAAGAUGGUGAAAAUGAUGGCGAUGUACUAUACCUGUGUUGGGAAAAUGAAGUGUUGGUCUGA